rnacentral:lncRNA from 1 species
UUAUUCAAAAAACAUCACUUUGUUUUGUAUUUUAGGUGACUCCUGACCAUGAAGUUCUGGUUGACAACUUGGGCUGCUCUGCUAGCGUUACUGUCACUGUGCCCACUGAAAUUAAUGCUGUUAUUCCACGUAUUUACAGUGUUAGUGAGAAGCAGGCAGAUAAAAGCAGAUGGAAAGCUGGCUGACGUGUACAGUAGGUACUUGUGGCUUGAAAAGAAAUGCCUUAAAACGUGCCCAAUGAAUUAAUUGGCUUUUACUAUAUAGAAAGGAGGCAAGUCUCUAACAUGGUAAUUUAAAUCUUUAACAAAAUACCAGUUAAAAAUCUUUGAAUGAUGGCUCAUGGGAGGAAAAUAAGGAAAAGGCUCUAAGAUAACUGCUUUUGAAAUGUAGGAAAACAUAUGGCUGAGUUCCUGAUGUGUUAAACUGCAGGAGGCUGCAGGUGAGCAGUUGAAAGCCUUGCGUAUGUCGUUUCAGGUAGGACUGCUCCUCGGGAAAGUUUUGUGCCACAGACAGAUGAGUAACAGGACCUUACCCCAGUGCAACAGUAGCUUUUGUCUUUUAAUGUGGUUGGAUUUUGGGUGCCGCUGAGCGAGGCCCUGGCUUGGUCCCCAGGUGCUUGCAGGGUGAGGCAGGAUGGAGCAAGGCGGUGGGGCCCUCCGCCGGGUUGUCGUGAAGUGGGCUUGCAUGUGGUCCAGUGCCUGCCCCCCCAGGGUUCGGUGAGUCUUCACCCCAGCCCUCUGGGGGGAAACAUGGUGUGCUCUCAGUAAAGGUUGAACUUCUCCUCUUUGCCACAAUGCAAUGUCAGUCUCAGCUAGGAGUCAAUGCAUCGGACUAUUGACUUCAAAAGGCUUUGGAAUAUGUCCUAAAAGCACAACCCCAGAAAUCCUUAUUCAAGUGGUUUUACUGAAGUAAAUAGAGUUACUAAUAAGCAACUACUCACUAGAGUAAUGCAGGAUUAUGUUUAAAUUCAGUAAUUUGACUGCCCACUGAUGUUUAAUGACGUUUAUUUGCAGGAAUGAUGCAUUCUGGAAAGUGAGGUCAGCUGGAACACUUGUGGUGUUCAUCCGUCUGCAACCCUUGAUCUUGCAAUGUAGCAGUCGCUAAAAAUAGGAGCCAUUACUCAACUGUAAAAAUGAAAUGGUUGGCAAUAUUAGUGGAUGGCAUACUAUGAAUAUUCACAAGUGUGGGAUGCAGAGGUGAUGCUCAUUUCAAAACAAUGGUAAAAAGUACGAUAUUUAUUCAGGGUUUUAUAAAUUAUCACUGCAUCAUAAAAAACUUAAUUUAAAAUAUUUUUUUAAAAAAGUUAUUUUUCUCCUUCGUAGGAGAAUGCGUCUCAUGGUUUUUGAAUUUAAGUAAAAAUACGUUCGUCCAAUGUUUUGAUAUUCAUUUGGUAACGUUAUUUUUACUGCCUAGCUGCCAAGGUUAAGUUUACAUUGUAAUGUCAGCAAUGUUAAAGCUACAUUUUCUAUUGUUUGGUUUGAUUCUAACUAUAAUUAUUUUUCAUUGACUGGUUUGGAUUAUAUCUUUCUGUGUUCGGAUUCUCACAGUUUUGUUGUGUAGUACUCAGGUAUUGUUAAAUAUUCUAUUUGUCCUUGCCAAGUGCCUGAAAAAUAGAAACAUUAGAUUUUUGUACUUAUAACAUUUGUUAGUCUUAUUAACUUCUUCAAAUUCUUUCUCUGUUGGAGAGAGAAGAAAACUGUGGAUAUAGUGUAUACUUAUGUGAAAGACACUCAUAUGCCACACUGGUUAAUAACUACCUGAAAAUGGCAAAUUAAAGUAAUAAAGUAAGUAAGUUUCAUGAAGAUCUCA